CCGUGCUAGGCGGGGAGGUAGCGGUGCCCUGUACUCGCAAUCCGCUCCAGCGAGGCUGAAUCCCUUCCUGAGGCUGUCAUACUGUAGGGCUGCCUUAAGUAAGUGGUGUUGACGCCCGGGUCCUGCGCAAUGGGAAUCCAUGAACCAUGUCAGAUCCGGAAGGAAGCAGCAUUAAGUGGACGCUCCCAUGUGCCGCAGGGUUGCCUGGCCGAGCUAACUGCUUAAGUAACGCCUAUGGGUGUCAGUCAAGGGAAGGUGCACGG
rnacentral:SRP_RNA from 1 species